AUGAGCUUUUGUUAGGAUCAGGAACAUCUCAGCAGGGCACUGUCUGAAUAGCAGAACUUCCCAGAAGUGUGGCUUCCAAGAAGUCUUGCCUGACUUUGGACCUGGGGGCAGGUGCUCAUGCCUUGUGGGGUGCUGGUCUCCGUCUCUUUUAGCUUGCUGGCUGGCAUAAGCUGAACACUGCUUUGAGCAAUACCCCCACCCUCAUGUGCUGCUCACCUUAGACCAAAAGCAACAGGGCCACGCAGCAGCAGACUGACCCUGCCAAGACUGUGAGCCAAAACAACCCUUGUCUCUUUAUACGUUUGUUUAUUUAUCUGAGGUAUUUGCUACAGUUCAAGAAAGCUGACCGACCCAACCUAUUCCUGUGUAAAAGAUAAAAGAGAAUAACAUAGUAUCUGUCUCUGUCUAGAAAAUCCUCAUUAGCGGGAUAAAUGAGAAAACAACAGCAUGUUACCUGUGAGGGGUGGGAGGACAGGCCAGAAGGGUUAGGGGAUGAGGGAAAUUUUCAGGAGACACCUUUUUGUAUGGCUUUGACUCUCUGGAAGCGUGCUAAUGCACUCUGUUCAGAGGUCAGGGACUCUUUAUAGUAAGGCAAACAAGAGCCCAUAAAUCAUGAUACCAGUGACUGACACUUGGUUCCAGUGUCCCCUCCACACUGUCUCUUGGGGUUCUUAAGCGUAGGUCCCACAAGACCAUGCUCCUGCCUCUGUUGGGCUCUGCAAAGGUGACACAGGACAGGAAAGCUGCAAGGCUGGAGGAGGGAGGGAGGGAGGCUCUUCCUUCCCAUUUGCCCGUCUAAUUGAGUCUCACUCCAACGAUGCCUCUUCAGGCUGGCAGUCUCAGUUCUUUCCCUCAGCCACGGUGGAACACUCCUUACAGUGGACAGCCAGUCCUGUCACACCACUGCAAGCGCCACAGCUCCAGUCAGCUGGCACUCCUCCCCAGAGCUGGAUCUCAGGGUUGCCAGCUCCAUAGGUCCCUUCCUCAGGUUGUUACAUUGUAAUCAUCCGAACCUCCUCCUCUUAUUCCCUCAGUAGUUGGAGUGCUAGCUCUUCCUCAUGCUGCUGUCACAAGACCUCGGGACAGCAGAGCCCAGGCCUCGGGACAGCAGAGCCCAGGCCUCGGGACAGCAGAGCCCAGGCCUCGGGACAGCAGAGCCCAGGCCUCGGGACAGCAGAGUUCAGGCCUCCGGUCAGCAGAGCCCAGGCCUCCGGACAGCAGAGUUCAGGCUGACUCGGGUCAGCAGAGUCCAGGCCUUGGGUCACCAGAGUCCAGGCCUCGGGACAGCAGAGUCCAGGCCUCGGGACAGCAGAGUUCAGGACAGCAGAGAGUUCAGGCACACCUUUCCUCGCUGUGACAAAAUGCUGGACACAAACGACUUAAAGGGAGGAACUGCUUAUCUGAGCUCAAGGUUUCCAAGGUGUCAGUCCACCUUAGCAAGGAAGGUGCAGCAGGACAUGUCAGCUCAUAUCAUGGAAGCAGAGAGGGAGACAGAAAGGGACAGACAGACAGAGAGCACCUGCGUUUGCUGUGGGAGAAUGCUCUUGGACACUGCAAAGAUUUGUCACUCGUAUUAGUUUAAUAAAACGCUGACUGGCCAGUAGUUAAGCAUAAAGUAUAGGCAGAGUGACCAGACUAAGAGAAUUCUGGGAAGAGGAAAGGCAGAGACACAACCACUACCCAGAUGCAGGGAAAGUGAAAUGAGAAUGCCUCACUGAUAAAAGGUGCCAAGCCACAUGGCUAAAUAUAGACAAGAAUUAUGGUCUCUCUCACUUGCCUCGAUUCUUCCUCCUACUACCUCUCUCUGCGCGGAAGUCCCACCUACACUUCCUGCCUAGCUAAUAUCCUAACUAUUGGCCCUUCAUCUUUUCAUUACACAAUCACAGCAAUAGACCUUCACACAGUUUAACAAACGUGAUUCUUAAUAAUGUGUCAAAAUUCAGAAGAAGGCAUUAUGGAGUCAAUGAUAUCUUCUCAUGACUCAUGCAUGAGAUUACAAAAUAACACGGAAGUAAAGAUUAGCUGAAAGUUAAAGAGAGGUUGAGAGCCCUUGAUGUCAGAGAUAUUUUAAAAUCUUUUUUCAGACACGGUUUUAGAUUCCACAUAAAGAUUAGUCUUAAGAAUAAACUUACCGCAUGAUCUGUUCUCAUGUGGUAUCAAAAGGUAACACAUAAAUACUAAGAAAGCCUAUAAAACUGUUUCUCCAUUUUCCUGUGUGUGUGUGUAUGGUGUAUACAUGUGUGUACAUCUCUGUGAGCAAAGACCAGAAGACAGCACAUUUCUUCCUUUAUUGUUCUACAGUUUAAUCCCCUUAAGUGGAGUCCUCACUGAACCUGAAACUCUGCAUUUAUGCUGGCAGCUCCCCAGUAGCCACUGUCUCCACCCUGAACUCCUGGGAUGACGGGCACAUCUGUCCUUUUACGUGGGUACUGGAACUAGAACCCAGGUCUUUGUGCUUGUAUGGCGAGCAAUCUUACACAGUGAACUGUCUCCCCAGCCCCUAUUCGUCCCUUUCCUAACUAUAGACCUGGGUGAGACUAGUGUGAGGGCUAACGUUUCAGGUUUAAAUCACUGUAAACGAAAUGCCUCGAACCUGUAAACCCCACUUGGCUAAGGACGGGUAAGAUCAUAAGCCGUGUGUUUUCAUUUCUAUAAACAAGGUUGGCUGUCAUAACCGCACAGAAUGUACUUGAUCACACACGGCGGGAGAUAUGUGUGUCAGGAUGUAUGCUCGCCCCGACUGGACAAAAGCCAGGAAGUAUGGAGCCUUGCGGAUUUGCCUUCAUAAGCAUCUGACUAAUUCUGGCCAUUCUCUGGGAAUCCUGAGAAUGAACCUGGCCAGUGUCCAUCAUCCUGGCCAGUAUUUAAUAAAGCUUGCUUCAAAUUUGGUUCAAAAGUUGUAGCAGUCUCAGUCCCACCCAGUGGGAUCAACACAGUUUUCCUUCAUAACUUAUCAAAAUGGCAUGACCUGAUGCAGUGAAUACAAAAACAGAUGGGAUUAUUCAGCUGCUCUAUUAAGUCAGACAUUAAAGAGAUUUCCGAAACUAUCAAUGUCACUAUUCUCAUUAAAAUUUGUAUAUUGUUAUUCCUCAUCAAUUUAAACUGUGUUAUUAGUGCUGGGCAUGAGGGCGUACACCCUGUAACUCCUGCGCCUAGGAGGCUGAGGCUGGAGGAUCUCAAGUUUGAGGAAAGCCUGGGCUGCAUAGUGAUACAGUCCAAAACCAAGACUGUAACUGCAUUGACCUGCAAUGGGCUCGCUGCUGAUCUUAAAUGAAUUUUAAAAAUAAACACUGUGGAAAGUUCUCACUUUCUUUCUGAUGAUACAUGCUAACCACUUUUACCUGCGCAGACAUUCUAAGGGCCCCUCCGGGAGUCCGCACAAGUACGAAAGACUCCCGUAAGCAACAGGUUUAAGACACGAUACUCAAAGUCCCUUUCAAGCCGUCUUCAGCCCACUUAACUCAAUACCUUGUUUAACAGCUAUUUCUAUUCCUUCUGCUCAUAGGAACUUUUUUAGGGCUGGCGGAGUGGCUCAGAGGUUAAGAGCACUCGUUGCUCUUGCAGAGGAUACUGGUUUGACCCCAGCAUCCACAUAGUGACUCAUAACCAUCUGUAACUCCAGCUCCAGGAGACCUGAUACCCUCUUCUGACCUUUGGGGGCAUCAGACAUGCAAAUGGUGUACAUGCAUACACGCAGGCAAAACAUCCAUAUACAUAAAAUAAAUCUUUAAAAGAUCAGAACCUGAUUUUUAAAAGUAUAACUAUAUAAGUGCCCCCUAGAAGUGUUUUUGAUGCAGGUCUUGGAGACUUUCCCGUGAUCCUUCACACAGAUAGCCCGGUGCUCAGGAGAACGUUCCUGUCAAACCUUUGAGAAGUCUCCGUGCAGUUCCUGCCUGUGGUGUAUGCUGCCAGGCAAAUUCUAACCACCUCAGCCUCCUCUGCUGAGUUCUGCUUGUUUUUCCGUGCCUGAGCUCUGGUCUGGAAUUUGCUUCAAGGCAGAAAUCCGGGACCAGCUAGUCACUGGUUACCUCAUCUGUCCUUCUCCAGCCGGUUUCUGAACCUUUGAAAUCCGUGUCCCACCUUGCUCUGGUUUUCCAGACGCUUCCACGGAGGGCUGGCCCCGUGUCUGCUGGCUUUUGAUAACUGGAAUAAACUCUUUCAACCCUCCUGCUCUGCUUGAAACCAACGGGCCUGGAUUUCAGCCAUCCCAGGCCCUGUUGGACGGUGAGCCCCGCUCACCCUUAGCCUGGCAACAUGGGCCUUCUGAAGGUUCCAGAGCUCUGACCUCAAACUCCAGCACGAAAUGACACAUUGCCCUCCCCAUGCCUCCACAGAAUGAAAGGGAAGCAUUGUAUUUUUAACUAAAAAGCCCUGGAUUUCACGGGUUGGUAUAAAUUAACAUGGCGGGAGGGCGUACAUGAUACACCAAAAUGUUAACGAAGACAAUACAACCACAGAGUCCUUUUUUUUUCUGGACUUUCUAAAGUUUAAAUAAAUGAACAUGUGCUAUCUUUAGAAAACAGAACAAUGUCCCUUAUUUAUGGUCUCCUCCCACGGGGUGACAUUUCAUUGUGCCUUAGUACAAAUACAGGCCAGGGUGUGGCAGAUACGGGGCUCACCUGGGCGGUUGCCAGGGUCUGCCCUGGAUCCACGGCGCGGACCAUUGAAUUCUGGCAUCCUCCUUUCCCUAGCUCCCAGCAGAAGGUUAUUUGAAGAGCUCCCUUGUUUGUCAAGCAAAUGACUGUGGCCCAAGAAAACACGUCUUUCUCAGAAAAUUUUCCAGACCUUUCUGCUACAGCCAAGACUCCCUGAGGAGCCUGAGGGAAGGAGUCCUGAGGAAGUCGUGGUUUAUUUGUCGCCCGGGCUUAGGACCUAGCAGCCUUUGCUUCCCUGCUAGUCCAGGCGGAGACCUAAAGGAGGCCAGCCUUUCUGCUGUGGGCACACACCGCCGUUGCUCAACUCCUGCGUCCCCUUUAAAAAAAACGAAAACACACGGUUCCUCAGACUCCAGAGCAGGAACUCUGGAGACGUUAGCAUAUUCUGGCAAGGAGCCUGAUGGAUAAUAGAUAACAGGUUAUCCAGGAAAUAAUUAGAAGCCGGCGCCCACACGGAUCGGUGGCACACACUGACCCCUGUCGUUCAGGAUGUGGCCCCGAGAGUCAGAAGCCUUUCUUCUUUCGCUUUCAAGCGUCAGAAAAAUGUCAGGCCUUUCUGAGGUGACAAGCUAACAAGUGCUCAGUUUCCAAGAGGCACUUAAGACCCUCCUAAGCGGGUUCUCGGGAGUCUGGGGACCCAGCAGGUUCCUUCCCAUGAGCCCCUGGGCAGGACGGGUGGUGAAUCAGCUUAUCAGCCCGCUCCUACUGUGUUAGAGGCCUUUGCUCAGGGCCUCUCCACCCCUCCUGCUUCUUCCUGCCGCUUGUCUGCCCCUGAAGUGUCUGCUUUCACAGUCCACGCCUGGCUACUGAGCGGAGUGGCCCUGUCUCUUCUCCAGUUCAGAACAUCACCCCAGAACCCCACCACGCACUGUUUUGUUUGAUCUUGGGACUCAGAAGUAUCCGCGUAUGUUUAUAAAUGCAGUCUCGGUAUGCGUCCACUGCCGUAGAUAUAUUCUGAUGCUGGGCUGAUGGCCCUAGACGGCUUCCACCAUCUUCAUCUUUUUCUUUGCCAUCUUCGAGAGGCCUCUCAAAACACGUGAAGGACCCUGGAGGCCUCCCCAGCCCUUUGCUCGUUCAGUAGGGCACAGUUUGUAAAGUACAGGGCGUGGUCAAGAACUCAGGCUCAGAAACC